rnacentral:lncRNA from 1 species
GUGGAGGAGGGAUGUAUAUAUCCCUGCUAUACUGUGUUUUCUUUUCUACCAUUGCAUACGGAGCAUAUUGAGGAAAACCUGGCUUCAAUUCUGGCCUCAGGCAGCAUGAUGUCCGUGUCACCCAGGAUCUGCUGCAAUGUAUAGCCUGCUUGGAGGAGGAAAAAAGCAGGCCUGCCAAGAGUCUCCUAAUGUACUUUAGACUACAAGGUCAAAGAGGACACCAAAACACACACAGAAAGCCUGGCAAAUGAACACCAACACCCAACAAGUAGAUGAUUUUCUUUCCUAAUUGGCCCCUGUCCUGCUAUUGAAACUUUACCUAUAAAGUGUAAAGUGACAAUUAAAAUCUCACUUUGUCAGGAAGGCUCUGACAGGUUCUGCUUUUUCCUUUCCUAAUUGUGGCAUUGGGUAGUUUCCCGGGAGUUCUCUCUCCAAGACUCCCUCAGAGUGCGAAAGUUUGCCCUAACUGGUCCUGUGUC